rnacentral:rRNA from 1 species
GAGUUUGAUCCUGGCUCAGGACGAACGCUGGCGGCGUGCUUAACACAUGCAAGUCGAACGAGAAUCUACUGAAAGAGUUUUCGGACAAUGGAAGUAGAGGAAAGUGGCGGACGGGUGAGUAACGCGUGAGGAACCUGCCUUGAAGAGGGGACAACAGUUGGAAACGACUGCUAAUACCGCAUGAUGCAUAAGGGUCGCAUGAUUCUUAUGCCAAAGAUUUAUCGCUUCAAGAUGGCCUCGCGUCUGAUUAGCUAGUUGGCGGGGUAACGGCCCACCAAGGCGACGAUCAGUAGCCGGACUGAGAGGUUGAACGGCCACAUUGGGACUGAGAUACGGCCCAGACUCCUACGGGAGGCAGCAGUGGGGAAUAUUGGGCAAUGGGCGCAAGCCUGACCCAGCAACGCCGCGUGAAGGAGAAGGCUUUCGGUAUGUAAACUUCUAUCAGCAGGGAAGAAAAUGACGGUACCUGACUAAGAAGCCCGGCUAACUACGUGCCAGCCGCCGCGGU